rnacentral:rRNA from 1 species
CCUACGGGUGGCUGCAGUGAGGAAUCUUGCGCAAUGGGGGAAACCCUGACGCAGCAACGCCGCGUGAGUGAGGAAGGUUUUCGAAUCGUAAAGCUCUGUCAGGUGGAAAGAAAUGUAUGGACGUUAAUAGCUGCCAUACUUGACGGUACCACCAGAGGAAGCACCGGCUAACUCCGUGCCAGCAGCCGCGGUAAUACGGGGGGUGCAAGCGUUGUUCGGAAUCAUUGGGCGGGAAUGGCGUGUAGGCUGCGAAGGCCCUGGGCUUAACCCAGGAAGUGCAUUUGAUACUGUCUAGCUAGAGUAAGGGAGAGGAAAGCGGAAUUCCUGGUGUAGAGGUGAAAUUCGUAGAUAUCAGGAGGAACACCGGUGGCGAAGGCGGCUUUCUGGCCCUAUACUGACGCUGAGACGCGAGAGCGUGGGUAGCAAACAGGAUUAGAUACCCGGGUAGUC